GAGAAAUAUCACAUUUGCCAAGUCAUCAAUUGCAAAAAUGAUUUUUAUUUUUUGGUUUUUAUUGGAGUUAGCGAGUGUAAUAGCGAAAUAACUGUCAAUCGUUAGGAACAAAAAAUUAAAAAAAAAAAAGAAAAAUUAAAAAACUAGACUCGAAUGACGCUUGCUGAUGUGAGUGCUCAUGUAUGGAGUUAUUAAGGUGGAUUUGAGAAACCCAAUAAACAGCUGGCUGGAUGAUUCAAAUUUCGGAAUGUCGAAUUUCGUGCUUGUUGAAAGCUUUAUAUGGAGAAUGGGAGACGCUUUAAAGGUGAAAUAAGGAAAUUCUCUUACCUUCACGAAGGAGGUCUGAAAGAAAGAUCUUGUGUGUAUCACUCACUUAUCAGCACGUGGUUAAUCCAUAGCAGAGUCGUACCUAAAGCACGAUCAAAACGGACUAAGACUUUCAAUGAAAGCUCUUGCUUCAAAGCGAAAGCUCUGUAUGAAAAGCUUUAAGCUGAAUAUAGAAAUUCGUAAGUUCAUUUAUCCCAAUGUUGAAAUAAACAGAAAAACGAGCAAGUGAGCCGAAUAAAUACUCGUGUCUGUUGUACUCAUUACAUUUCACACCUACACCAUACAUCCGGCCAAAUGUGGAGCAAACAUUAUGUGGGUUCGCCGCUUUUGCCAAACAAUUUGGUGUAAUACUGGCAUCUUCAAAAACGAAUAUAUAUGUAUUUAAGUGACAAAUAACCAAACUAAUACAAAAAUACAAGAAAAAGAAAGCCACACUUCCUUCGCCGGAAGCAGCAAAUGUCAAUAGACUGAAAUAAAUAAUUUAGAGAACAAGACACCUCUUGUUUAAAAAUAAAUGCACUUGCGUUGUGGCAGUAUGAGGCACUGUAGAACACAUACACAAACAUUGAAUCUAGUAUAUAAUAUAUACAUAUGUACGUAGAUACUCCAAAUAUUCCGAACAUUUAAAGUGAGUUGUCAGGCGUUUCAUUAUUUUCGGUUGUUGUUAUUAUUGCUGUUAUAACCUUAUUUAAAUACAAAUAAUUUUUCGACACAAUCCACAGUUUAUUACAAACAAUUUCAUUAUCCACACACACACACACGAAGAGAGGCGCAGCGAAGAUACCAGACGCGAACCUGUUCGUCUUUUAAUUUAAUUGCGGCCAUUGCUCGAGAAAGCUUACGCUUGUAUUGCUGUCAGCGGGAUUGUCAAUAAAGACAACGCGGCUAAAGCUGCUUGCAUUCUUUUUUCACGCUCCCUCGUUUUUAUUGUUAUUGUGGCAUACAGUGUUUGCAUUUCGGCGAGGACAAUUUAUUUACACAGACUUUUCAUUAAGAAUAAAAUAAUACGAGGUGUCCUAGCUAGUCCCUACAGUAAAGUGCGACUUGUCUAAGGAAAGAUCUACUAAAUAUAAGCUGACUCCGAGCGCUUGGCGUGGAAAUUUCGUUGUGACAAGUAAAAGUUUUUACUGUCUGUGCCCAUGGGAUGUUUUUCCAGACUGUUUCAAACGGAAGUCUUUGUCAUUAGUAAGUGCGCAAAGGUCAACAACGACAGGAGCUAUAAUGGAGAACGUAUUGUCAUAAUCAGUGACAGUGGCAUACCCCGAAUCCAAAUCGGGACUGGGUUGGAAACAGGGUUGGAAACAAAAAGUUGGUUAACAAUAUAACUGCGGCUUGGAUCGCUGAGCACAAAGACAUACAAAGAAACGAACUCGCUGAGGAACGGAAAGGAAACAUGUCCCCAGGGAUUACAUAUAGAAAGAGGAAUGGGCGAGUAGGAAUCGCUACGGACUGCAGAGACUUCGGCACUGAAAAAUGUUUCUUGGGUGCUACAUUAAAAAAGGGUUUAAGCUACUCAUUACGCUUCCAAGAAUCAAAAUAAGACAUAUAGUGGCGCUGUAUUCUUACCACUGCUGACUUAUGUGUCAUCUGAACAAAAUAGGGAUCUGCUCGGCCUAGAAGCUGAGACACCUGAGCUUCUACUACUCAACUGUCCUGCGAUUGCGAGUAAAAUCAGUCAUGAUAUGAGGACUUGAUGGGGUUAAAUGAGAUUCUGUGGUAAGAGGUGAGGGCACAAUAGACCAUAAGUCGCAGUGCUGUUCUCUAAUCUUAAUCUAAUCACAUUUAAAUAAGAGUUUGAAAAAGUGGAAGUAGAGAGGAAAUACAGAGUUGCUUUGUGCAAAAAUUUCAAAUCGAGCGACGAUGGUACUCAGGGAAUAUUUAACUUAUUCACCUGAAAUUUCAACUCUCUCUUGAAAAUGACAUUUUCCAAGCUUAUUCCAAAAAUAAAUUGUUUAUCACGCUUUUUGAAGGCUCGAGACUGGCGUAAACCCAUAAGUAAGACAAUUAUGGAGGGACUGGAGAGCCAAUAUGUCGCAGCCGAGACUUGUUAGAUUGCAAAGUUGCAAGAAUGCGCGUUUCAUUUGCGAUUUUCGCGUAAUGCGCUGUUGAAGGUCACGUGGAAUGUGUGUCAGCGGCACAAAAAAAACUGGCGCUGAGAACGCAAAUGGCCAGCAAAUUGGCGUGAAGUACGGCUAAAGCAAAAUGCCAAGCAAUAACACGCUGGCACACACAGCACCACUCGAGCCACUCGCGCUGAGCUGAGCUGAGCGAUUGCCCCAACUGAUACAACCGUGCGCUGUGAAGCACCCGCAUAUCUACGAGGCGGAAAUGCAGCGGUGCUGGCGACAACAACAACAUACAAACACACACACAUGAGGCCAGAAGCGCUCGAAUGGCAUGCGGUGUGCGCAUGCGACUUUGAACGUGCUGGAAAUGCGAUUUGAAACAUUUUCAUAUUUUUUUUUUUUGAAAUUUUCUGAUUUUUUUUUUUUGUAAUUUUUGCACUUGCACUUUUGCCUUUUUUCCUCGACGCUUUUAUUCUUGCUGUUUUUGUUGUUGCUUUUGCCUUUGCAAAAUUGUUUAUUGUUUCGUUUUAAUUUCGAUUUCCACAAUUGUGAAAAAUGUGAUUUUGCCAUUUUGCCAUUGCAAUGCAAUUGUGACGGUAAUUUGACAAUUAUAACAACAACAACAGCAACAACAACUAUAACUAAAGCGAAACUUUAGUAAACAGCUGCUGCUGCCUUCAACUAUUUUAUUGUACACACACGCUUUACUUGUUGUUGCUGUACUUACGACUGUUGUUGUUGUUUCUAAAUUAUUUAUUUUCCUUUUCUGUUGUUGUUGUUGUUGUCUAGAAACUUGUAAAAAUAUAAUUAUGGGUGUACGACAAAAAUUGCAAUGCAUUAUUGCAUGCAAAAAUUUCGCAAAAACAACAAAAACCCAAGCACAACAACAACAACACUAUAUACUAUAUAGAAAUAUAUGUAGUCAAAUCUGCUAAAAUGAUUGUCCACUAAUUUUCAUGUUGCCAUUUAAACUGCUGCAGCGCCAUUGUCAAUGGGAGUGAUUAUGAGAGCGGGGAGUGGGGGGAGGCGUGGUUGUGUUGUAUGAGGCGGCGUAAUGCAGUUGACAAAUUUUUCUAUCAAAUUUUACUUGCAAUUGUUUGGGAAUAAGUGAUUUUGAGUUGGAGUUGAUUACAUGAAACAGGCACAAGGUUGCUCAGCGCGGCUGCGUGUUUCAUUGCGUGACAGCGAAAAAUUCACGUAGUAUUCGGUAAUAGAGGUAUAUAGUAACAAAAAUUUUACAAAUAUUAUGAGUAGUUAAUGGUUGAUUGCUGCUUCGAAAUGAUUUUUAGGGAGUUUUUCGAGCAAAGGAUCAAAGCGAAAAAAAUUAGUUUUGAGAAUAAAACUAAAAAGAAAAGAAAAAAAAACCGUCGUUUUAAUCGCUGAUCCAAGUAGAGGUACUUUUUUCAAAAGCCAAACAUUUUUAGCGACGGUUAUCGCACCAUAAUAACUGACUAUUUGAUGCUCGUAAUCUCGGCGACAUUUGGUUUCAACAAGAUGGCGCCACUUUCACCACAUCACAUCAAUCAAUGGAUUUAUUGAGAGAACACUUCGGUGAGCAGAUAGUUUCACGUUUUGGCCGGUCGAUUGGCCUCCAAGUUCGUGGAUAUCACACAGUUGGACUUUUUCCUGAUGGGAUAUGUAAAGUCUAAAGUCAAUGCGGACAAUGCCGCUUCGAUUCAGGCCGUGGGUGUAAAAAAUCACGCGUGUCACUCGCAAGUUACCAGUCGAAAUAAUUGAAUGAGACAUUUGAUAGAGAUAAUCUUUAAAAACUAAAUGCCAAGGAAUGUUCUUUCGCAUGAUAAUAAACAUGUCCCAUUAAAUGUAAAUUUACUGUG